CCUACGGGCGGCAGCAGUGGGGAAUAUUGCGCAAUGGGCGAAAGCCUGACGCAGCGACGCCGCGUGAGGGAUGAAGGUCUUCGGAUCGUAAACCUCUGUCAGCAGGGAAGAACGGUCACUGUGCUAAUCAGCAGUGAAUUGACGGUACCUGCAAAGGAAGCACCGGCUAACUCCGUGCCAGCAGCCGCGGUAAUACGGAGGGUGCGAGCGUUAAUCGGAAUUACUGGGCGUAAAGCGCUCGUAGGCGGUAUGUCAAGUCAAGGGUGAAAUCCCCGCGCUCAACGUGGGAACUGCCUUUGAAACUGGCAAACUGGAGUGUGGGAGAGGAUAGUGGAAUUCCAGGUGUAGGAGUGAAAUGCGUAGAGAUCUGGAGGAACAUCAGUGGCGAAGGCGACUAUCUGGCACAUAACUGACGCUGAGGAGCGAAAGCGUGGGUAGCAAACAGGAUUAGAUACCCUGGUAGUC
rnacentral:rRNA from 1 species